CUCCAGAUGUUUUGAAGGUGGAUCAAUAUGAGCAGAGCAACGUCGCGUCUUGGGGAUCCAGAGGCCUGGAUCAGGUGAAAGAGCUGAGGUGUUGUUAAGGAUUCAAACCUGGGCAAAACGGUCUGCCUGAAAAAUCAGACACCAGAACGCUCAGAUCCAGAAUGCUCCAGAUUUCAGCCAUGACAUUGACCAUGGAUGGAGGGUUUUCUCAUUUUCACAUUUGACUGCUCUGAAAGGUGUGACUGCAUUGUUUCUUUGCAGGCUACAAAAUUAUUUGGACACAAAUGUUUGAGGUUGUCAUGAGGUGCCUCAGCAUGGGCUACGUUGGCCUAGAAAUACCAGCAAACUAACCAGGAAACCAACGCAGAGGACCAAAAGAAAACAGGCGAAAGCGUGGCCCAGUUUUUCAGAGCCUGAAGAGCUGGAACCAUUCACACUCCAUGACAUGGAGCACUGACGCAGUAUUAGUCUUCAAGAACAAGCAUUUGGCCAAACCUCUGAGCUUUGCUGAUGGGUUGCUUGACUGCUCAUGUGCAGAAUGCAGGUCGCUGGACAAUAGAGCACUGGAAUAGUUGCAACUGGACUUUGUCAUGUGAAGGAAAGGGGAUGACAUGCCAUACAACUCUUUAGAGAAGUUUGGAUCCUUUGUUUGCUGCAACACCUGGCUGAAAAUCUGUCAGUCCUGUAGGGGGUUAUAUCAGAUAUGCAGUCAGUCACAAAUACCUUCUUGGUAAAUGAUGGAGCCCCAGCUAUGUGAGAGUAAUGUGGCUCAUUCCAUUUCCAGGACUUUCAAGACAUUUUUGAGCAGCGUAGACAGGCAGGGCCGGCGCUGUCCAUGGUUCUGUAAACUCUUUUACUCACAAUGAAAUAAAGUGGGUUAAGAUAACCACCAUUCAGUCGAGCAUAGAUUUGUAAGUUAUGUCCAGCUUUAUUUUCUGUUUAUGUUGCACUAACGUCAUUAUGGUUUCAGGUUGCAGGUACGCAAUGAAUUAUGCCAAGGGUUAGGGGUUUUGGAUUUCACAGGGUGGCAGCUGCAAUUUGGAGCUUAAAAUGUCUCAGCAUUCAGUGCAUGCAUUCUUUCACUCUCUUGUUUAUUCAUCACAAAAAAGGAAGCCUAGACAAGGAAGAUUUAAGACAACUGGCUUUGGAA